AAAAUGGAAACAUCGUUGUUAGUAGAAAUAUAAUAAAUGAUUACGAAAUGAACUUAAAUGAAAAUAGAUUUAUAACCAUUUUUUUAAUUUAAAUAUACGAGAAAUAUCAUGGACCAGGACUGGCUCCUUUCCUGGUUUUGUAUGAAGGAUAUAUUUCUGGAAAAGAAUUGGAGAAGUGUUUUAGGUUGCUCUGUUUGUGAUUAUAUCUUUAAAGCUCAAGGAAAGUAUUUGCUAAUUUCUGGUCAGUUUUCCUGAAGACAUUCCUGUCAUUGCAACAUGAUUUGGUUAUUUCAACUGUAUAUUUUGUCAUAUUUCGUCAUUGUUUAUGUUGUUAAAAAUGAAGACAAUUUUCAAGGAAAAAGCCUUAACAUGGUGAACAUAAAUAUCAAAAAACAGACUUAUGAAAUAUCUCGGGUGACGUAGCUAAUUCUAUUUUCCCGAUGACGUUUUUAACGAGGACCAUGUUGUGAAAUGGAAGUCUAACCUAGAGUUUCAUGAAAACAAAAAAAACAGGAAAGCAAUGAUGGCAACGUUGAUGAUAAUUAUGGAGGAUAUGUGAAUUUAAGGACCAAUGUUCCAUGACUUAAAGAAAGAGUUUACAGCCAAUAAACACACUGGUGAGAAGGUGUACUAUGUUGGUCAACAUGGUUAUGAUGUGUUAAAUGUUCAAAACCAACAACUGUUCUUACUGUGAAAACUUUUGAUCUACUAAGAAAGUCAAACUUUUACAGAACAUGGAUGAAUGUACAAUAUUGCAAAGAAUAUGGUUACUUUCACAUUUUGAAGACUGGAAAAAGGAUGUCUUUUCUAUGUCAAUAUUUACUUGUUGAACUGAGUCUCCAGAAUGACUCACGGAAUAAUAAAAGAAGAAUUUAAGAUCUGUUUCCGCUUGCCAUUGCUAUUGGUUUAUCUGUUUUUCAAACUUUAAUGGUGGUUUAUUAGAGCGAAUUAUUUUUUCGAGAGGCUUAGAAGAUCUUGGGUCUGUUGAAGAGAGUAAUGUUGGCAAUAGAAACAGGUUACAAAUGUCUCGUGAAACCCUUCAAAAUGCUGGUGUAUCAGCGAAUGAAACUCGUGAAUCUAAAGAGUCGUUUAGAUGACGUGAUCCGUGUUUCCCACGAGAGUCGUUGAAAUAACGAGAGACGAGUUGCUCUUGUUGUUGAAAAAUGGAAGUCUUCGGAGUUUUAUGAAAACAGAAAAAGAAAGUUGUUAUUUCAAUGUUAACGAUAAACAUGGAGAAUGUGUGAAGUUAAAGGCCGAUGCCCCACUAAGUACAGAGAGGUUACAGCCAAUCAACGUGUCUUCCAAGAAGACAACCACAAUGACGUCACGUAGUAUGGCGUCACAUGACAACCGUUUAAGAAACAUGAUUCCAGUGAUUCAGUGAGAAAUUAUACCAACAUGGGCUACAGUCAAUAUGGCGAUGAUAUGUCUAAUGUUCAUCAAUAACCUAUUGUUGUUGUGAGAAUAUUUGAUCAUCCAGGAAAGUCGUACUCUUACAGACAAAGGAGAUCAUUGCCAAGAAAUCACUCAAGACUGAACUACAAAAAAUCUUUUAAAUCUUCGACGACUCGCAGACGAAAACCUUUACCAUCUGCCUGGACAAUAAACCUUCGAAAUUCGCCGUCAAGACAUGAAAAUUAUGAAGAUGUUCACUCUUAUUACUUACCACCUAGAAGAAAAGCCAAAUAUCAAGUCUCAACUCGUACACGAGAUUACAUGAAUCACGAAAUGAAAGUUUGUGAAGAUAAAAGUCGUGGCUCUGGUAAUAAUAAAAGAUACAUAGUUGAAAACCGUCCAAAACUAUCCCAUGCUAAAAAUGCUAAAACCUCGACUUAUUACAAAACUUCUGGUCGAUCACAACUCUGCUCACAUUCAGAUGCGUCAGAAGUAGAUUAUAAUCAUCGCCUGUCCUUCAAGACCAAAUUAAGGAUCAAAAUUUUCAGGCAAUUUAUUCCGACAAAAAGUGGGAAGGGAAAUCACAUGAGCCAAAAAUCAUGUCCAUUGUCAGUGGCAGUGAGUUUUCUGAAUUCUUACCCACUCCUCCACGGCCAAGCGACAGCUAAUCAGAUAUUUCUACGGAUGGAUAUUCCCGUGGUAGUUAUAAAUCAUUUAAAAACAAACUUGAAAGAAACGUUAAAGAAAACAGGGAGGUUGUUGUUGAAGACAGAAGUCAAUCAGAUCAAGAAAAACAUAAUGAAUCAUUUGAAGAAACUUUAGAGCGUUUACGAAAUGGUGAGACGUGUGAGAGGAAUGGAAACGAAAGUAGAAAAAACGUCGGUUCAUUUAAUAAAGAGACGAGCAGCUCAUCGUGGACUCAUAAUGACAGCGGUUUUAGAAAGAAGCAUUAUGUGCCAAUAAAUGGUGUUAAAGUCCUACCACCAGAACCAGUUUUUAUUCAGUUUAAAAGUAGCGAUGAGGAGAAAAAAAAUUAAAGUUGAAUGAUUUAUUAACCAGCUAUUUUAGACUUAUAAAUGAUUCACUUUAUAUGGGGAAUUUACUAUCUAUGUAAUAACUUUCUAUUUAUUUUUCAUACAUUUGAAGGACAUUUAAAUCCACAAAUUAUUCAUUCUCCCCCCUCCCCCCAUGGAUAACAUAAAGCAUUUUUUCAAAAAAAUGUACUUCCUACUGUUAUUUUGAAAUUUCUACAUUGUUAAAAUAAUCUUUUUUAUGACGACAUUGCAAACAAGGCCUUAUUAUUGAUGUUUCUUACCUGACGGAAAAUGUUAUAGAAAUACACUUGUUGAAAUACCUAUUGGAAACUGUGAUUGGAGAUCAGUGGUUUAUCUAUAUGAAACGUUUCAUAAUUUGUUAAUAAACAAGCGUUUACAAAGCGAUUGCAAGAACGAGCAAGAAAGCAUAGAGAAAAUGAAUGAUCAUUUAUCUUCUAUAAGAGCUCACCAUUGACUCAUAUUGGCAGCGGUUUUCGUAUAAUAGAUCAUAUGGCUAAAAUAUGGUGAAAAAUGCGAUAAAGAGAAAGUAAAUUCCAGUUUAAUGGUUUAGAAAAUGAAAUAUUUAGCUUUUCUAUUUCGCUGUUUGAACGAAAUUUAUGGUGAUGUAUGUGAUGAAUAACCGACUGUUUUUUUGUGUUUCCUCUAAUGUAUUUGCUUAUGUCUCACACCAAAGUCAUUUUCGAAAGCAUUCGCGUGUAAAAUUUAAUCUACGUCCUUUCAAAACUCCUCCAAUCACCGCCACCAAGGGUCGCCAGGUCACUAUAUCUUGCUGUGAUCUUCUCAAAUUUAGAAAAUUUAUGUAGAUAUGAGAACUUGCAAAACAAGUCAUUCUUGUUGUUUUGAUGCUUGUAGUCAGACGGUAGUAAAAACGGUGAAGAAGUCAAUAGUGUUGAAUUACCUGAAGACCGAAGAUUUUUUUAUAUGAAACGUUUAAUAAUUUGUUAAU